rnacentral:rRNA from 1 species
UUAAGCGACUAAGCGUACACGGUGGAUGCCCUGGCAGUCAGAGGCGAUGAAGGGCGUGCUAAUCUGCGAUAAGCGCCGGUAAGGUGAUAUGAACCGUUAUAACCGGCGAUACCCGAAUGGGGAAACCCAGUGUGACUCGUCACACUAUCAUUAACUGAAUCCAUAGGUUAAUGAGGCGAACCGGGGGAACUGAAACAUCUAAGUACCCCGAGGAAAAGAAAUCAACCGAGAUUCCCCCAGUAGCGGCGAGCGAACGGGGAGGAGCCCAGAGCCUGAAUCAGCAUGUGUGUUAGUGGAAGCGUCUGGAAAGGCGCGCGAUACAGGGUGACAGCCCCGUACACAAAAGCGCAUGUGCUGUGAGCUCGAUGAGUAGGGCGGGACACGUGGUAUCCUGUCUGAAUAUGGGGGGACCAUCCUCCAAGGCUAAAUACUCCUGACUGACCGAUAGUGAACCAGUACCGUGAGGGAAAGGCGAAAAGAACCCCGGCGAGGGGAGUGAAAAAGAACCUGAAACCGUGUACGUACAAGCAGUGGGAGCCCCACCACCAAAGCAUUCUCUGGUGUUGAAGGCCCUGCAAAGCAGCAUCGCGGUGGCGGAGCGUCGUUUGCGACGCCCAACACACAAAACAAGCGGUGAGUGCUUUGGGGUGGGGUGACUGCGUACCUUUUGUAUAAUGGGUCAGCGACUUAUAUUCUGUAGCAAGGUUAACCGAAUAGGGGAGCCGGAGGGAAACCGAGUCUUAAUUGGGCGUUAAGUUGCAGGGUAUAGACCCGAAACCCGGUGAUCUAGCCAUGGGCAGGUUGAAGGUUGGGUAACACUAACUGGAGGACCGAACCGACUAAUGUUGAAAAAUUAGCGGAUGACCUGUGGCUGGGGGUGAAAGGCCAAUCAAACCGGGAGAUAGCUGGUUCUCCCCGAAAGCUAUUUAGGUAGCGCCUCGUGAAUUCAUCUCCGGGGGUAGAGCACUGUUUCGGCUAGGGGGCCAUCCCGGCUUACCAACCCGAUGCAAACUGCGAAUACCGGAGAAUGUUAUCACGGGAGACACACGGCGGGUGCUAACGUCCGUCGUGAAGAGGGAAACAACCCAGACCGCCAGCUAAGGUCCCAAAGUCAUGGUUAAGUGGGAAACGAUGUGGGAAGGCCCAGACAGCCAGGAUGUUGGCUUAGAAGCAGCCAUCAUUUAAAGAAAGCGUAAUAGCUCACUGGUCGAGUCGGCCUGCGCGGAAGAUGUAACGGGGCUAAACCAUGCACCGAAGCUGCGGCAGCGAACGUAUCACUUAAAGCGAUUCAGCGGGUUACGAUUGACGGAGCGAAGCGACGUCAAAGCGUAUACAAAGUCGAGUCGGUUUAAGGAUACGUUCGUUGGGUAGGGGAGCGUUCUGUAAGCCUGUGAAGGUGGCCUGUGAGGGUUGCUGGAGGUAUCAGAAGUGCGAAUGCUGACAUAAGUAACGAUAAAGCGGGUGAAAAGCCCGCUCGCCGGAAGACCAAGGGUUCCUGUCCAACGUUAAUCGGGGCAGGGUGAGUCGACCCCUAAGGUGAGGCCGAAAGGCGUAGUCGAUGGGAAACGGGUUAAUAUUCCCGUACUUGGUGUUACUGCGAAGGGGGGACGGAGAAGGCUAUGUUGGCCGGGCGACGGUUGUCCCGGUUUAAGCGUGUAGGUGUGUGUUCCAGGUAAAUCCGGUUCACUUUAACACUGAGGCGUGAUGACGAGGCACUACGGUGCUGAAGCAACAAAUGCCCUGCUUCCAGGAAAAGCCUCUAAGCAUCAGGUAACAUCAAAUCGUACCCCAAACCGACACAGGUGGUCAGGUAGAGAAUACCAAGGCGCUUGAGAGAAAUCGGGUGAAGGAACUAGGCAAAAUGGUGCCGUAACUUCGGGAGAAGGCACGCUGACACGUAGGUGAAGUGAUUUACUCAUGGAGCUGAAGUCAGUCGAAGAUACCAGCUGGCUGCAACUGUUUAUUAAAAACACAGCACUGUGCAAACACGAAAGUGGACGUAUACGGUGUGACGCCUGCCCGGUGCCGGAAGGUUAAUUGAUGGGGUCAGCGCAAGCGAAGCUCCUGAUCGAAGCCCCGGUAAACGGCGGCCGUAACUAUAACGGUCCUAAGGUAGCGAAAUUCCUUGUCGGGUAAGUUCCGACCUGCACGAAUGGCGUAAUGAUGGCCAGGCUGUCUCCACCCGAGACUCAGUGAAAUUGAACUCGCUGUGAAGAUGCAGUGUACCCGCGGCAAGACGGAAAGACCCCGUGAACCUUUACUAUAGCUUGACACUGAACAUUGAGCCUUGAUGUGUAGGAUAGGUGGGAGGCUUUGAAGUGUGGACGCCAGUCUGCAUGGAGCCGACCUUGAAAUACCACCCUUUAAUGUUUGAUGUUCUAACGUGGACCCGUAAUCCGGGUUGCGGACAGUGUCUGGUGGGUAGUUUGACUGGGGCGGUCUCCUCCUAAAGAGUAACGGAGGAGCACGAAGGUUGGCUAAUCCUGGUCGGACAUCAGGAGGUUAGUGCAAUGGCAUAAGCCAGCUUGACUGCGAGCGUGACGGCGCGAGCAGGUGCGAAAGCAGGUCAUAGUGAUCCGGUGGUUCUGAAUGGAAGGGCCAUCGCUCAACGGAUAAAAGGUACUCCGGGGAUAACAGGCUGAUACCGCCCAAGAGUUCAUAUCGACGGCGGUGUUUGGCACCUCGAUGUCGGCUCAUCACAUCCUGGGGCUGAAGUAGGUCCCAAGGGUAUGGCUGUUCGCCAUUUAAAGUGGUACGCGAGCUGGGUUUAGAACGUCGUGAGACAGUUCGGUCCCUAUCUGCCGUGGGCGCUGGAGAACUGAGGGGGGCUGCUCCUAGUACGAGAGGACCGGAGUGGACGCAUCACUGGUGUUCGGGUUGUCAUGCCAAUGGCACUGCCCGGUAGCUAAAUGCGGAAGAGAUAAGUGCUGAAAGCAUCUAAGCACGAAACUUGCCCCGAGAUGAGUUCUCCCUGAGACUUAGAGUCUCCUGAAGGAACGUUGAAGACGACGACGUUGAUAGGCCGGGUGUGUAAGCGCAGCGAUGCGUUGAGCUAACCGGUACUAAUGAACCGUGAGGCUUAACCUU